AUGGAGAUAUGUUUAUUGAUCCUCAUAAUCAUAUCAGGUGUGUUUUCUGACAGCAUUGGACCAAAUGAAGAGGAUAAGAGUAUAACCAGGAAAGACGGAGAGUCUGUGACAUUGAGAUGCUCAUAUGAUGCAAGCAGCAAUGAUAUUUUGCUUUACUGGUACAGACAGUAUACUAAACGAAAACCUGAGUAUUUACUGUUGAAAGGAGCUCGAUCAUACAAUGGAGCUGUUGAUAUACAAGAUCAACGGUUUCUGUCAACUACAUCCCAGACCUCCACUGAAAUCACUAUUAAGAGUGUAACUCUGUCGGAUUCAGCUCUCUAUUACUGUGCUCUAAGAGCAGCAGCCCAGUGA